rnacentral:ribozyme from 1 species
UCCCCAGCAACUCUUAUCCCUACCUCCUCGUGGUACCGGCCGGAAACUACGAGCAACCUUAGGAAAGAUCGGGUAGGAACUUUGGUCGUAGGCUAACAGGGAAAC